rnacentral:lncRNA from 1 species
UCUUAAAGGACCCAUGUGCAAAUUCACCCGUUUUGGAAAACAACCUGAAAUCACCAUAAAGAAAGAUGCACUGUCCUUUCUAGAAAAGAGACUCACCUGAUAGGCUCUGGGCACAUCUCAGUGAGAGGGGAGACCUCUCCAUGGACUGAGACAUUGACAACAACCAUUAUUGUGACCUCAUACAGGUGUGCUGACACAGACGCUGGUAGAUGCCAUUGGAGUCCUUCCCCUGGCAUGUUAGCCCAGGAUCUGCCCCGCCCACGACAGUGCUGAUUAAAACCAGCUCAGCCAGGGUGGGCAGCCCACCCUAGGGACUGGCUCCACCAACUGAAGGCCUCGGUCAACUUGUGUGCCUGCAUGGACAGAGUGCCAGGAUCCUCUGCAGGCAGUUUACAGAUAAGGAAACAGGUACAGACAAAUGAAGUUUGUUGAAAGCCACCUAUGAGGGUCGGAAUCAGAAUUUGAAGCCAGGAAAUGUGGCUCCAGAAUCCAUGCACCUGAUCACUGCCUGAUACCACCUUUGAUAAGGAGCCCUUCCUGUUCCUUUACUGACUUACUUCUACUCACACUUCAGAGUUCAGUUGUGUCUUAUCUUCAAUAAGUGAAGAUAAGCUACAACUAAUUGGACAUUCAACAGUCAAAAAAGGAUAUCCACUUAGCACCACAGGACACCUGAAUGACCUGUGCUGCUAUACAUCAGAAGGUGGACAGACUUCCCCCCAGGAGGAGGUGGAGAUAGGUGAAAAGUCUCUGACCCCCGGACAGCCUACUACCUGCAAGUGACUCUCUACUGGCUGACUCGCUCAUAGCAUCACCACAGCACUGAGGGCAGGCGUGUGCAUGCACUGGUGGCAUGACUGUGGAAACAGCUGAUGGGAGACCCCACAGGGCCACUGCAAUCAUGAGGAGGGGCCCAGGCUCGGUCAGGAAGAGCUGACAGCAAUCCCAGUCAGUGCAGAUUACACAUCUGCUGCCCCCUCCCCCACCAGUAAAAGCAAGUGGAAGUAGUAACCAAACUCUGUCUCUAUGCGGAAGUACAAAUCCAUGCCAGCAAGUAGUAUGAAAAAAUAUAUUAAAUCUCCAGAACAGAAGGAAAAUGACAA